rnacentral:rRNA from 1 species
UAUACCGCGAACUGCGAAUGGCUCAUUAAAUCAGUUAUCGUUCAUUUGAUAGCACCUUACUACAUGGAUAACCGUGGUAAUUCUAGAGCUAAUACAUGCUAUAAACCUCGACUCACGGGGGGGGUGUAUUUAUUAGAUUCAAAACCCAUGCCCUCCGGGGCUUUCAUGGGGGAUUCAUGAUAACUUCGUCGGGAUCGCAGUGGCCAUGGCGCCGGCGAAGGGUCAUUUCAAAAUUCCUGCCCCCUAUCAAACUUUUCGAUGGCUGGGGUCAUUGGCCAUGCCAUCGGUGUACAACGGAGGUAAUCGGAGGAAGUUUACGGGGCGUCGACUCCCGGGAGAGGGAGCCUGAGAGAGCGGGCUACUAACAUUCCAAGGAAGGGCAGCAGGCGCCGCAAAUACCCCAAUCCCGAUUCGGGGAAGUAGUGACAAUACAUACUGAUACAGAGGCUCCUUUUGGGUCUUGGAAUUGGAAUGAGUACAAUUUAAAUCCCUUUACGAGGAACAAUUAGAGGGCAAGUCAGGUGCCAGCUGCCGCUCUAAUUCCGGCUCUAAUAGAGUAUAUUAAAGUUGUUGAGGUUAAAAACGCUCGUAGUUGAACCCUGGGCCUGGCUGGCCGGUCCGCCUCUGCGCGUGCACUGCUCCGGCCGGGUCCUUUCCCUCUGGGGGAGCCGCAUGCCCUUUACUGGGUGUGCCGGGGGAACCAGGACUUUUUACUCUGAAAAAAUCAGAUCGCUUAAAGAAGGCCUAUGCUCGAAUAGUUCUAGCAUGGGAAUAAUAGAAUUAGGGGAACGCGCGGUCUCUAUUUUGUUGGAUUUCUAGGACCGCCGUAAUGAAUAAUAGGGACAGUCGGGGGGCAUCAGUAUUCAAUUGUCAGAGGUGAAAUUCUUGGAUUUUAUUGAAGACUAACUACUGCGAAAGCAUUUGCCAAGGAUGUUUCAUUAAUCAGGAACGAAAGUUAGGGGAUCGAAGACGAUCAGAUACCGUCGUAGUCUUAACCAUAAACUAUGCCGAUUAGGAUCGAGCAAUGUUCUUUUGACUCGUCUCGCACCUACGAGAAU